rnacentral:rRNA from 1 species
UGGGGAAUUUUGGACAAUGGGGGAAACCCUGAUCCAGCCAUCCCGCGUGUGCGAUGAAGGCCUUCGGGUUGUAAAGCACUUUUGGCAGGAAAGAAACGUCAUGGGUUAAUACCCCGUGAAACUGACGGUACCUGCAGAAUAAGCACCGGCUAACUACGUGCCAGCAGCCGCGGUAAUACGUAGGGUGCAAGCGUUAAUCGGAAUUACUGGGCGUAAAGCGUGCGCAGGCGGUUCGGAAAGAAAGAUGUGAAAUCCCAGAGCUCAACUUUGGAACUGCAUUUUUAACUACCGGGCUAGAGUGUGUCAGAGUGAGGUGGAAUUCCGCGUGUAGCAGUGAAAUGCGUAGAUAUGCGGAGGAACACCGAUGGCGAAGGCAGCCUCCUGGGAUAACACUGACGCUCAUGCACGAAAGCGUGGGGAGCAAACAGG